CAGCCGCCGCGGUAAUACCGGCGGCCCGAGUGGCGGCCACUAUUAUUGGGCUUAAAGCGUCCGUAGCCGGGUUGGUUAGUCUCCCGGGAAAUCUGGCCGCUUAACGGUCAGAAUUCCGGGAGAUACUGCCAGCCUAGGGACCGGGAGAGGCCGAGGGUAUUCCCGGAGUAGGGGUGAAAUCCUAUAAUCCCGGGAGGACCACCUGUGGCGAAGGCGCUCGGCUGGAACGGGUCCGACGGUGAGGGACGAAGGCCAGGGGAGCAAACCGGAUUAGAUACCCGGGUAGUCCUUGCUGUAAACGAUGCGGACUUUGUGUCGGACAAGCUAUGAGCUUGUCCGGUGCCGGAGGGAAACCGUUAAGUCCGCCGCCUGGGGAGUACGGCCGCAAGGCUGAAACUUAAAGGAAUUGGCGGG
rnacentral:rRNA from 1 species